rnacentral:misc_RNA from 1 species
GCUGCAGGAGGAGGCUGC